ensembl:rRNA Gm25974 predicted gene, 25974
UACUCUGGCCAUACCACCCUGAACAUGCCUGUUCUUGUCUGAUCUUAGAAGCUAAGCAGGGUUGGGCCAGGUUAGUGCCUGGAUGGAAGAAAGU